rnacentral:rRNA from 1 species
GGGCAACCCUUAUCCAGCAAUGCCGCGUGUGUGAAGAAGGCCUAGGGUUGUAAAGCACUUUCAGUGGGGAGGAGGGUUNAUAGGUUAAGAGCUAGUAGNACUGGACGUUACCCACAGAAGAAGCACCGGCU